rnacentral:rRNA from 1 species
AUUGAACGCUGGCGGCAGGCCUAACACAUGCAAGUCGAGCGAGCGGCGGACGGGUGCGUAAUUCAUGGGGAUCUGCCUGAUAGAGGGGGAUAACUACUGGAAACGGUGGCUAAUACCGCAUACUAUCGGAUGAACCCAGAUGGGUUUAGCUAGUAGGUGGGGUAAAGGCUAACCUAGUCGACGAUCUCUAUCUGGGCUGAGAGGAUGAUCAGCCACACUGGGACUGAGACACGGCCCAGACGCCUACGGGAGGCAGAAGUGGGGAAUAUUGCACAAUGGGGGCAAGCCUGAUGCAGCCAUGCCGCGUGUAUGAAGAAGGCCUUCGGGUUGUAAAGUACUUUCGGCGGGGAGGCGUUACCCUCAGAAGAAGCACCGGCUAACUCCGUGACAGCAGCCGCGGUAAUAC